GACGAACGCUGGCGGCGUGCCUAAUACAUGCAAGUCGAACGCAUUUUCUUUCACCGUAGCUUGCUACACCGAAAGAAAAUGAGUGGCGAACGGGUGAGUAACACGUUUGUAACCUGCCCAUCAGCGGGGGAUAACACUUGGAAACAGGUGCUAAUACCGCAUAAUUCCAUUUACCGCAUGGUAGAUGGGUGAAAGGCGCUUUUGCGUCACUGAUGGAUGGACCCGCGGUGCAUUAGCUAGGUGGUGGGGUAACGGCCUACCAAGGCUGCGAUGCAUAGCCGACCUGAGAGGGUGAUCGGCCACACUGGGACUGAGACACGGCCCAGACUCCUACGGGAGGCAGCAGGAGGGAAUCUUCGGCAAUGGACGCAAGUCUGACCGAGCAACGCCGCGUGAGUGAAGAAGGGUGUCGGAUCGUAAAACUCUGUUGUUAGAGAAGAACAAGGAUGAGAGUGGAAAGUUCAUCCCUUGACGGUAUCUAAACAGAAAGCCACGGCUAACUACGUG
rnacentral:rRNA from 1 species